AAGCAACCCCGGAAAAAAAACAAAUAUGCCGUGUGCGCCAGGCGAGCAACAUUAAAUGGGGAAAAUAAAUAGAAUGAACGAAUGUAUUAACGUUAUGACAAAACGUUCUCACAAUUCAGACUUUAAAAAAUUUCCUACCGUUUCUUGGAGGGACACAAAGUGGUGUUGCUUCCUUACAAUAAAAACCACGUGCCCAGGUAUCAUGAAUGGAUGAAGUGUCCUGAGCUGCAGCAUCUGAGCGCCUCAGAGCCACUGACCCUGAAACAGGGGUACAACAUGCAGGGGAGCUGGAGGGAAGAUGAUGACAAUGCGCUGCUGAGGUUUCUCAGUCCCACCGUUGCAAAUCCUCCUGUCCCCUCCACAUCAGCAGCACAACCCAGCAGUGAUGCAGCAGCAUCAAGCGCUCCUCCUGUCACCUCCACCUCAGCAGCACAA